UGCCGGCGAGCUUAACGGUCCCAAUUUCAUAAGCGGAACGUUCGAUUAAGACAGCGAAAAUUCUCCGUUACAAGACUAGGUGUGCUGGUGCUGCUGCAUAAUCUCGAGCAUACGGGGACUAGGCUUGGGUAUUUACAUUUAAAGCAUUUUUAAAUAAGUAUUAUUGGUUUUUCUAAAGACUUAUAUAUGUUUUGUGGUUUGAAUGAAAGGGGUCAUUGAUGAUUCCCGAGUUGUAUUUAUAUUUUAAUUCUGCUGCAUUUUAGUUUUCAAGUUAAUGUUUUAAGUUAUCGUUAACUCUUAUUAUGCCUUGCGUUCCAUCGCGGCGGUAACGCCCCCGAGGUCGACGCGACGUAGCAGUGGUAGGCGCGCGUGGAUUUUGGGGGUGU